UACUGCUCCAACGGUAUGAACCAGAUCAAAAGCCAAGUGAAUCAGGUCCAUCCUCAUAUCCACGUUCAUCCAGGUCAAACUCGUUUGAAUGCGCGUCGCUGAAGCUUGACCUCAUUUGAUCGAUUCCAAGCAUUUCGAUCUCCAAAGUUCCAUCGGAGUUCAGGCAUCAGAAUGAAUAUGGAAUCGUUCAUGCCAUAAACAUGUAUGCAUCUCUAAUCUUCUUCACUCCUGCUUCAGAAUGCUCAAACAGGCACCAAAGCUUCAAACGCAAAUCCAAACCCGCGUCUGACCAACCCUCUAAAAUCAAGUUGGUUCAAUCGAUUCGCAAACUCGAGAAAUAGUGUGGAUUUGUUGAAGAGCUUUAAGAAAAGAAGUGGAGGAAUACUCACCGGAAAUCGCGAUGCGGUGGUUCUCAGGUGACUUCACAUGAUGUUAACUUGUGUAGAAAUUCUCUCUUUUCUUGGUUUGAAUGGUCAAUUGGUGAUUGUGGUGGACUUAUUUUGUAGGCCCAUGGAGCUUCAAUUUGUGCCAUGUUGUUUGGAAUGUAAUAGCUUGAAGGAGCCUUGGCCAUGACUUGGUUGAAAUAUGGAUGUUUCAAGAAUUACUUGGACUUGAAGAAAUAGGCCAUGAAUUAGGAGAUUAGGAGUUAAAAUAUUCUAGGUUACAUGUUAAUUUGUAAUUGCUUCUUUUGAUUGUAUUCUAUUUGGGAUUACUGUAUUGAUUGUGAUGCUUGAAUUGCUUGAUAUAUCAAUUGCUUGCUUGCUUGGUGA